rnacentral:rRNA from 1 species
GACGAACGCUGGCGGCGUGCCUAACACAUGCAAGUCGAGCGAGUGAAUCUCCUUCGGGAGUGAAGCUAGCGGCGGACGGGUGAGUAACACGUGGGCAACCUGCCUCAUAGAGGGGAAUAGCCUUUCGAAAGGAAGAUUAAUACCGCAUAAGGUUGUAGCUUCGCAUGAAGUAGCAAUUAAAGGAGCAAUCCGCUAUGAGAUGGGCCCGCGGCGCAUUAGCUAGUUGGUGAGGUAACGGCUCACCAAGGCGACGAUGCGUAGCCGACCUGAGAGGGUGAUCGGCCACAUUGGGACUGAGACACGGCCCAGACUCCUACGGGAGGCAGCAGUGGGGAAUAUUGCACAAUGGGGGAAACCCUGAUGCAGCAACGCCGCGUGAGUGAUGACGGCCUUCGGGUUGUAAAGCUCUGUCUUCAGGGACGAUAAUGACGGUACCUGAGGAGGAAGCCACGGCUAACUACGUGCCAGCAGCCGCCGUAA